CAUUAAUAAGCACAUCGGCUAUAGGCAUAGGAUAUUCAUCUUUCGGAGAAGCUCUGUUAGGAUUUCUAAAAUCAAUGCACACUCUGAGCUUAUCCGUGUCCUUCUUCUCAACAGGCACAAUAUUAGAAACCCAAUCAACAUAUCGACAAGGCCUAAUAAACUUAGCAUCAAGCAACCGACUGAUUUCUUCUUUCACUCGGUCAUAAAUAAUAGGAUUAAAGCAUCUAGUAGGUUAUUUAUGAGGCCUAAAAUUGGGCUUAAUGGGCUGUCAAUUUUCAACUAGCUCAUGGCUUAAACCAGGUAUUUCAGUAUAAUUUCAUGCAAAACAGUCGACAUACUCUUUCAAUAACUUUAAUAAAUCAACCUUAAAAGUAGGCUCAAGAUUUUUGUUUACAAACAUAAGCCUUGGUAUAGUACCAAUACCAAUAUCCACCUCCUCUAAAGGAUCAGCCGAUGUAAACCCUUGUCCUAAUUUACUCAUAUCAUUAAAGUCCUCAAUGGCCUCAUACAUAUUGUUCUUCUGCGCCCGAUAGUGUUCUAGACUCUGCUGCAACCAUUCUAGAUUUACAUUUAUUACAUCAUAUGUGAUAAGUUGGCCGAUCCUCAACCGGCUUUACUACAACAGCGACGAAACCAUCCUUUGUGCAACUAAUGAACUCAUAAUUGGAAAGAUCCAAACCAGAUAAGCCCUUGACAUUAUCAUGCGCACUUAUGGUGGAACUAUCGGCUAUAGCAACACAAGCCGACGUAUCACCAUGCACGACCUCUACUUCAUCGCCAACCCACUGGAUUAAGAAUUGAUGCAAAGUAGAAGGGACAUAUUGAUUUGCAUGUAUCCAAUCAUGACCCAAAACUAAACUAAAGUUACCUUGGGUCUCAGCGAUAAAGAAAGCGGUAGCCAACGUUUUGCUCCCAACAAUGAGCUCCAUAAAGACAACGCCUUUAGCUCCCGUAGGCUCGCCUCCUCCCACACCGCUGAUAGUUAUGUUGGUCUUGAUCAGCUC
rnacentral:lncRNA from 1 species